rnacentral:rRNA from 1 species
UACGGAGGGUGCAAGCGUUAAUCGGAAUUACUGGGCGUAAAGCGCGCGCAGGCGGCCUCGCGCGCCCGACGUGAAAGCCCCGGCUUAACCGGGGAGGGUCGUUGGGGACGGCGGGGCUUGAGGGCGGGAGAGGUCGGUGGAAUUCCCGGUGUAGUGGUGAAAUGCGUAGAGAUCGGGAGGAACACCUGUGGCGAAGGCGGCCGACUGGGCCGACCCUGACGCUGAGGCGCGAAGGCGUGGGAGCGAACGGG